rnacentral:misc_RNA from 1 species
AAUUCUCAACCUUGCAAGCUUUUUCUAGCUUGCGAGGCUUGGAUGUGAGGGUUUUGCUGGCUUCCUUUAAGUUGGAUGGUCUGCUCCCUUUAAAUUCAUUAGUGGGAUCCUUUGUGGAUGGUCACUUGGUGUGAUAAUUAUCUACGCCGCCUGACUCUGAUACAAAACUUGUGGGAACCUGCUUAUAACCGUCUCUUUCAGAGACACUAUCAUUGACA